rnacentral:lncRNA from 1 species
CUCCCCUUUCCUCAUGGCAAGACGCAUGGAAGAAGAGUGCUGUUAAGGCCUCUCCAUUAAUCAACAGAUUCAAGGCCUCUUCCAGAUGUAGCCCUGACUGGGAAGUGCACUCGUGAGUGUGAUGAGUAUGGCCACUCAGACUCCUGCUGGAUGCCGGUCCGCACUUCUCCGGAGAGGAAGAAGAGCCAGCCUAAACUGUCCACUUUCAUGCCUGUUGAUGAACGAGGAAGCCAGGAAAAGCUGGCCAAUGGGGAGGCCGCCAUCAUGGGUGACCGCAACAGAAACCUCCUGAACAAAAAGUUGACCUCAUCCUAUGAGACCUUCAG